rnacentral:lncRNA from 1 species
UUAGUGCAAUAAGUAGUGUCAACAAAGCCGAAAGAAUAGUAGCAUAUAGUAUAUAUAUUUAUCCAACUACAACACCUUUGCAUGUUUAUAGGCUUGCUCAACCAAGAAGCAAAUAAAACUUUGGCUUUAGUUGGUCGGACUUUACUUACCUCGUAGUCGAAUUUUGGAUUACUGAGACUCCUUUUCUCUAGGACCUAAGAUCUGGAUAAUAAGAUUGUUGUGGAUAGUUGGUUUCAGAUUGUUAGUGGUUGAAUCUCAAUGUUAAGGAGAUGAUGGUAUAUGCACACAC